GACGAACGCUGGCGGCGUGCUUAACACAUGCAAGUCGAACGCUGAAGCUCAGCUUUUGUUGGGUGGAUGAGUGGCGAACGGGUGAGUAACACGUGAGUAACCUGCCCCCUUCUUUGGGAUAACGCCCGGAAACGGGUGCUAAUACUGGAUAUUCACUGGUCUUCGCAUGGGGGUUGGUGGAAAGGGUUUUUCUGGUGGGGGAUGGGCUCGCGGCCUAUCAGCUUGUUGGUGGGGUGAUGGCCUACCAAGGCUUUGACGGGUAGCCGGCCUGAGAGGGUGACCGGUCACAUUGGGACUGAGAUACGGCCCAGACUCCUACGGGAGGCAGCAGUGGGGACUAUUGCACAAUGGGCGCAAGCCUGAUGCAGCGACGCCGCGUGAGGGAUGGAGGCCUUCGGGUUGUGAACCUCUUUCGCUCAUGGUCAAGCCGCAACAAUGGUUGUGGUGAGGGUAGUGGGUAAAGAAGCGCCGGCUAACUACGUG
rnacentral:rRNA from 1 species